rnacentral:rRNA from 1 species
AAAUUGAAGAGUUUGAUCAUGGCUCAGAUUGAACGCUGGCGGCAGGCCUAACACAUGCAAGUCGAACGGUAGCACAGAGAGCUUGCUCUCGGGUGACGAGUGGCGGACGGGUGAGUAAUGUCUGGGAAACUGCCUGAUGGAGGGGGAUAACUACUGGAAACGGUGGCUAAUACCGCAUAACGUCGCAAGACCAAAGAGGGGGACCUUCGGGCCUCUUGCCAUCAGAUGUGCCCAGAUGGGAUUAGCUUGUUGGUGAGGUAACGGC